rnacentral:rRNA from 1 species
UAAUGCCGGAUGCUCCAGUUGAUCGCAUGGUCUUCUGGGAAAGCUUUCGCGGUAUGGGAUGGGGUCGCGUCCUAUCAGCUUGACGGCGGGGUAACGGCCCACCGUGGCUUCGACGGGUAGCCGGCCUGAGAGGGCGACCGGCCACAUUGGGACUGAGAUACGGCCCAGACUCCUACGGGAGGCAGCAGUGGGGAAUAUUGCACAAUGGGCGCAAGCCUGAUGCAGCGACGCCGCGUGAGGGAUGGAGGCCUUCGGGUUGUAAACCUCUUUUAUCGGGGAGCAAGCGAGAGUGAGUUUACCCGUUGAAUAAGCACCGGCUAACUACGUGCCAGCAGCCGCGGUAAUACGUAGGGUGCAAGCGUUAUCCGGAAUUAUUGGGCGUAAAGGGCUCGUAGGCGGUUCGUCGCGUCCGGUGUGAAAGUCCAUCGCUUAACGGUGGAUCCGCGCCGGGUACGGGCGGGCUUGAGUGCGGUAGGGGAGACUGGAAUUCCCGGUGUAACGGUGGAAUGUGUAGAUAUCGGAAAGAAACA